UCCUAGGAAGUGUAGGUCACUGUGUGAUUUGAACAAGAACAAUGGAGAAGUACUUUGAAGCCUUGCCCAUGCUCCUCUGUGUUCAUCUGAACUUGGUAAGCGGUCAAGCAAACACGGUGAUGCAGAGUCCUUCCAUCCUGGAUGUCUGGGAAAAAGAAACAGCUGCUAUCAACUGCACUUACACAAAUUCGGCAUCUAAUUAUUUCCCCUGGUAUAAGAAGGACAGAAGGGAAGGCCUUACUCUCCUCGCAGACAUUCGCUCAAAUGUGGACAGAAGGAAGGAGGGGAGAUUCACAGUGAUACUGGAUAAAAAUGCUAGACACGUCUCCUUGCAUAUAACAGCUGCACAAGCAGAAGAUUCAGCCCUGUACCUCUGUGCAGCAAGCACACAGUGCUGUGCAGGCACCUGCAGCCUGAAUGCAAACGUUCAGCUGGGACUGCAGUAG